rnacentral:rRNA from 1 species
CAAUAGCGUAUAUUAAAGUUGUUGCAGUUAAAAAGCUCGUAGUUGGAUUUCUGGUGGGAGCGAUCGGUCUGGCGCUUAGCGCGAGUACUUGCAUCGUCUCCGGCCAUCCUUGGGGAGAGUCUGUCUGGCAUUAAGUUGUCGGGCAGAGGAUCCUCAUCGUUUACUGUGAAAAAAUUAGAGUGUUCAAAGCAGGCUUAUGCCGUUGAAUAUAUUAGCAUGGAAUAAUAAGAUAGGACUUUGGUACUAUUUUGUUGGUUUGCGCACCAAAGUAAUGAUUAAUAGGGACAGUUGGGGGUAUUCGUACUCCGUUGUCAGAGGUGAAAUUCUUGGAUUUACGGAAGACGAACUACUGCGAAAGCAUUUACCAAGGAUGUUUUCAUUAA